rnacentral:rRNA from 1 species
AGAGCGAACGCUGGCGGCAGGCUUAACACAUGCAAGUCGAGCGGGCGUAGCAAUACGUCAGCGGCAGACGGGUGAGUAACGCGUGGGAACAUACCUUUUGGUUCGGAACAACCCAGGGAAACUUGGGCUAAAUACCGGAUAAGCCCUUACGGGGAAAGAUUUAUCGCCGAAAGAUUGGCCCGCGUCUGAUUAGCUAGUUGGUGAGGUAACGGCUCACCAAGGCGACGAUCAGUAGCUGGUCUGAGAGGAUGAUCAGCCACAUUGGGACUGAGACACGGCCCAAACUCCUACGGGAGGCAGCAGUGGGGAAUAUUGGACAAUGGGCGCAAGCCUGAUCCAGCCAUGCCGCGUGAGUGAUGAAGGCCCUAGGGUUGUAAAGCUCUUUUGUGCGGGAAGAUAAUGACGGUACCGCAAGAAUAAGCCCCGGCUAACUUCGCGCCAGCAGCCGC